rnacentral:rRNA from 1 species
CCUACGGGAGGCAGCAGUAGGGAAUAUUGCUCAAUGGGGGAAACCCUGAAGCAGCAACGCCGCGUGGAGGAUGAAGGUUUUCGGAUUGUAAACUCCUUUUUUUAGAGAAGAUAAUGACGGCAUCUAACGAAUAAUCACCGGCUAACUACUUGCCAGCAGCCGCGGCAAUACGGAGGGUGCAAGCGUCACUCGGAAUGACUGGGCGGAAAGAGCGCGUAGGCGGGAUAGCAAGUCAGAUGUGAAUUCCUAUGGCUUAACCAUAGAACUGCAUUUGAAACUGGUAUUCUAGAGGAUGGGAGAGGUAGGUGGAAUUCGUGGUGUAGGGGUAAAAUGCGUAGAG